ACAUUCAGCGAACUUGGCAGAGAUGCCUUGGUGCCUUCGGGAACGCUGAGACAGGUGCUGCAUGGCUGUCGUCAGCUCGUGUUGUGAAAGUGUUGGGUUAAGUCCCGNAACGAGCGCAACCCUUAUCCUUUGUUGCCAGCGAUUCGGUCGGGAACUCAAAGGAGACUGCCGGUGAUAAACCGGAGGAAGGUGGGGAUGACGUCAAGUCAUCAUGGCCCUUACGAGUAGGGCUACACACGUGCUACAAUGGCGCAUACAAAGAGAAGCGACCUCGCGAGAGCAAGCGGACCUCAUAAAGUGCGUCGUAGUCCGGAUCGGAGUCUGCAACUCGACUCCGUGAAGUCGGAAUCGCUAGUAAUCGUGGAUCAGAAUGCCACGGUGAAUACGUUCCCGGGCCUUGUACACACCGCCCGUCACACCAUGGGAGUGGGUUGCAAAAGAAGUAGGUAGCUUAACCUUCGGGAGGGCGCUUACCACUUUGUGAUUCAUGACUGGGGUGAAGUCGUAACAAGGUAGGCGUAGCGAG
rnacentral:rRNA from 1 species